GAUGAACGCUAGCUACAGGCUUAACACAUGCAAGUCGAGGGACCGGCGCACGGGUGAGUAACACGUAUCCAACCUGCCCUUUACUCGGGGAUAGCCUUUCGAAAGAAAGAUUAAUACCCGAUAUAAAGGAUGGGGAGGCGUUUGAUUAGGUUGUUGGUGAGGUAACGGCUCACCAAGCCUUCGAUGGAUAGGGGUUCUGAGAGGAAGGUACCCGGCCAUGGAACGGAGGCACGGUCCAACAUCCUACGCGAGGCAGCAGUGAGAGAUAGUGGUCAAUGGGGGCUAGCCUGAACCAGCCAAGUAGCGUGAAGGAUGAUGUCUUUUGGGUCGUAUACUUCUUUUAUAUUAGAAUAUGUAUUAUAUGAAUAAGGUUCGGCUAACUCCGUGCCAGCAGCCGCGGUAAUUC
rnacentral:rRNA from 1 species